CAUGUAGGCGGCUCGCCAAGUCUGAUGUGAAAGCCCGGGGCUCAACCCCGGAAGUGCAUUGGAAACUGGCGAACUUGAGUACGGGAGAGGAAAGUGGAAUUUCGAGUGUAGGGGUGAAAUCCGUAGAUAUUCGAAGGAACACCAGUGGCGAAGGCGGCUUUCUGGACCGAUACUGACGCUGAGAUGCGAAAGCGUGGGGAGCAAACAGGAUUAGAUACCCUGGUAGUCC
rnacentral:rRNA from 1 species